UUACGUAGCACCUUUUAAGCUAAGGAUCUCAAAAUACUUAGCAAAUGCAAUUUGCUCUCACAGCACCUGUGAGGUAGGUGUUUUUUACAGCCAUUUUUAUAAAUGAACACAUUGAAGCACAAGAUUACGAUGCCUACUCAUAUGGCCCAAUAAGUAUGGUGGCAUCAACGGGACCCGAACCUGGCCUUCCCCAUCCUUCCUCAAUCACAGAGCCCCCAGAAUACCUCAUAACAGCAUUGCUGCUGAACAUGCUCUGGUGUUUUCAGAUGUUAGCAAGUAGGGCCAAGUCUUUCAAUAAUAUUGACACCCUUAAAGAUUUUCUCAUGUGCUUUGCAAAUGUCUGUGUGUGGGGGCAUCUUAUACUAUUGCUAAGCUUAUGUUAAUUAUAAUGCAUACUUAAAUUUGUAUUUUCUCAAUGUGAUUUAUUGUUCUCUGGCCUCCAACCAACUUAUUUUCUACAUAGAGACAUAUGCCUGCCAGAUCCAAAAACUGUGAAAUGCACUUAGCGACACUGUCUGGAAGGAAGCAGAUUCUGUGCAUUUCUUCUGGAGAGAUCUGAUGCACAGUGAUAACUCGGCGAUACCUACACAAACUGUAGGCCAUUUUCCAGUGAUUGAAGCCACUGUUCUGGAAAGGAUGUAUGCCCAGCUUUCGAAGACACAGUCCCACAUAUACGUCUUCAAGGUGAAGCAGCCUUGUGUGGAGUGAGGUCUUGUAAAUGAGUUCAGCUACAUCGGCUGAAAAGAUGUAGCCAGUCCCCGAACAGAAAGGUGGGUAGUUACUGUCUGGGUACAAAUCCCUGGGCAUAUACCACUUACUGCGGACAUCCCGAAUCGGUCCUCCAUUAAUGACAUAGCCAGUAAAAUACCUUCUUCGUGGCUUGGUGGAGGGUUUCAGUAAUUUAUAAAUAAGAUUGUCCAUGUUUACAAAAAUGUCGCUGUCUGUUUUCAUGACAUACUUGGCUUUUGAACAAAAAGUGGCCACCCAUCUCAUCCCCAUUAAUGUUUUGAGGGUAAGGUUAUGGUAGGAGUCAAUAAAGUCCUCCACGAUGAUAUCAUGGAAGAUUUGGCUCUCUUGCUCCACCAUCUGAUUGAGAACAGGAUCAGCAUUCUUGCCCAGGAGGAACAGGGUGGCUAUCUUGAUCCCCUUAAAGUUGUUCUCAUCCCCCCACGUCUCUCUGAUUGCCUGACGGGCAUCAAAUUCCUUGUGAGUGGUGCUGAUGAGGAUAACAAGAAAAGGAAUGUUUUUCUCACAUUUAUUGGGCUCGUUGAUAAGAAAUUCAAAAGAAUGUGGGUUGAUAGGUCGAGUUCUUAUGUUGCCAAAGGUGAAGUUUUUCCUGGCAACUGUUAGGUGGCUGAAUGGUUUGGAGCCAGUGUAAGAAGAAGUAGGGCGAGUUAUACUCAAGUACCAGAGAGCGCUGGCCCAGCACACAACUGUCAAAACAUACAAACAGGAGACCUUUGAAGCCAUUGUCUUGAGAACACGUCUAUUCCAAAUAUUGAAGAAUACGCCUCCUUGGCACUAGUUUGUUUUCAUCUUCCAAAGGCAGCAUAUUACUAAUAAAUCUUCAAGUUUGAUAGAGAAGCGUGAGGUGGAGAUUGUCCAUGGGCCUCAGUGGCUGUCUGUCACCUCUGCGCUCAUUCUACUUUCUUCCAAAUCUGAUGGAGGGUUCCAUGACUCAUAAAUCUUCCUCUUAACUCUGCAAAAUCA
rnacentral:lncRNA from 1 species